AUUGAACGCUGGCGGCAUGCCUUACACAUGCAAGUCGAACGGUAACGGGCCUUCGGGUGCCGACGAGUGGCGAACGGGUGAGUAAUACAUCGGAACGUGCCCGAUCGUGGGGGAUAACGAGGCGAAAGCUUUGCUAAUACCGCAUACGAUCUACGGAUGAAAGCAGGGGACCGCAAGGGCGUGGUCGGACGGAGCGGCCGAUGGCAGAUUAGGUAGUUGGUGGGAUAAAAGCUUACCAAGCCGACGAUCUGUAGCUGGUCUGAGAGGAUGAUCAGCCACACUGGGACUGAGACACGCCCCAGACUCCUCCGCGAGGCAGCAGUGGGGAAUUUUGGACAAUGGGCGCAAGCCUGAUCCAGCCAUGCCGCGUGCAGGAUGAAAACCUUCGGGUUGUAAACUGCUUUUGUACGGAACGAAAAGCCUUCUUUUAAUACAGGAGGGUCAUGACGGUACCGUAAGAAUAAGCACCGGCUAACUACGUG
rnacentral:rRNA from 1 species